CAGUGGGGAAUAUUGGACAAUGGGGGCAACCCUGAUCCAGCAAUGCCGCGUGAUUGAAGAAGGCCUGCGGGUUGUAAAGCACUUUCACUAGGGAGAAAAGCUGAAGGUAAUAGCCUUUAGUCUGACGUAC
rnacentral:rRNA from 1 species